UACGAAGGGGGCUAGCGUUGCUCGGAAUCACUGGGCGUAAAGCGCACGUAGGCGGACUCUUAAGUCGGUGGUGAAAUCCUGGAGCUCAACUCCAGAACUGCCUUCGAUACUGAGAGUCUCGAGUCCGAGAGAGGUGAGUGGAACUGCGAGUGUAGAGGUGAAAUUCGUAGAUAUUCGCAAGAACACCAGUGGCGAGGGCGGCUCACUGGCUCGGUACUGACGCUGAGGUGCGAAAGCGUGGGGAGCAAACAGG
rnacentral:rRNA from 1 species